GAUGAACGCUGGCGGCGUGCCUAACACAUGCAAGUCGAACGAAGCACUUUAUUACGAUUUCUUCGGAAUGACGAUUGAGUGACUGAGUGGCGGACGGGUGAGUAACGCGUGGAUAACCUGCCCCAUACAGGGGGAUAACAGUUAGAAAUGACUGCUAAUACCGCAUAAGCGCACAGUAUCGCAUGAUACGGUGUGAAAAACUCCGGUGGUAUGGGAUGGAUCCGCGUCUGAUUAGCCAGUUGGCGGGGUAGAGGCCCACCAAAGCGACGAUCAGUAGCCGACCUGAGAGGGUGACCGGCCACAUUGGGACUGAGACACGGCCCAAACUCCUACGGGAGGCAGCAGUGGGGAAUAUUGCACAAUGGGGGAAACCCUGAUGCAGCGACGCCGCGUGAGCGAAGAAGUAUUUCGGUAUGUAAAGCUCUAUCAGCAGGGAAGAAGAAUGACGGUACCUGACUAAGAAGCUCCGGCUAAAUACGUGCCAGCAGCCGCGGUAAUACGUAUGGAGCAAGCGUUAUCCGGAUUUACUGGGUGUAAAGGGAGCGUAGGCGGUGCUAUAAGUCUGAUGUGAAAGCCCGGGGCUCAACCGCGGGACUGCAUUGGAAACUGUAGGACUGGAGUGUCGGAGGGGUAAGUGGAAUUCCUAGUGUAGCGGUGAAAUGCGUAGAUAUUAGGAGGAACACCGGUGGCGAAGGCGGCUUACUGGACGACAACUGACGCUGAGGCUCGAAAGCGUGGGGAGCAAACAGGAUUAGAUACCCUGGUAGUCCACGCCGUAAACGAUGAUUACUAGGUGUGGGGGGACUGACCCCUUCCGUGCCGGAGUUAACACAAUAAGUAAUCCACCUGGGGAGUACGACCGCAAGGUUGAAACUCAAAGGAAUUGACGGGGGCCCGCACAAGCAGUGGAGUAUGUGGUUUAAUUCGAAGCAACGCGAAGAACCUUACCAGGUCUUGACAUCGCAUGCCAUCUGUAGAAGUACAGAGUUCCCUUCGGGGACAUGCAGACAGGUGGUGCAUGGUUGUCGUCAGCUCGUGUCGUGAGAUGUUGGGUUAAGUCCCGCAACGAGCGCAACCCUUAUGUUUAGUUGCUACGCAAGAGCACUCUAGACAGACUGCCGUUGACAAAACGGAGGAAGGCGGGGAUGACGUCAAAUCACCAUGCCCCUUAUGACCUGGGCUACACACGUACUACAAUGGCCGUCAACAAAGGGCAGCGACACCGCGAGGUGGAGCGAAUCUCAAAAAACGGUCCCAGUUCAGAUUGCAGGCUGCAACCCGCCUGCAUGAAGAUGGAAUUGCUAGUAAUCGCGGAUCAGAAUGCCGCGGUGAAUACGUUCCCGGGCCUUGUACACACCGCCCGUCACACCAUGAGAGUUGGCAACACCC
rnacentral:rRNA from 1 species